AGGAGCCUGUCCUAAGAAGGGAUUCCUGGUGGGACAUUUCCUGUUCACAUUGCCGUCUUUCUCAUGAGAAUCCACUCUCAGACUCCGUGCCUCCUUGUGGUCUCUGACAGAUGGUGGCAUCCAACUGGACCCUGACCGAGCAAAAAUUACUCUCCUGCCACUACUGUUCAGGAAUAGUUGCAGAACAGCUGGUCUGCGAUAACACCCCCUGGAGAUAAACCCAUCAGUGGACAGAUGGAUAUUUUCUUUCAAUUUUUAUGUCAUUGGCUAAAACAGAGGGAAUAUCAUACAGUUCCUUAUCAUAUCUGUGAGUCACCCAUCAAGAUCUCAAAAUGCGAGAGAAGAUGCCUGCGGGUUGUGAGAGGUGAGAGCAAGCAUUACUAAAGAGAAGUCCUAGAGAGUCUGUGCUUCUCAGUCACAGUGACAAAAUUCACAGGGCUGUCUGGUUUCGUGCGAGGCCGCGGGCCCCUGCUGCAGAGAAGUGAGGGGGGCAGAAGACGUGCUUUCGCAGCGGGUACCGGAGGCCCUGGUGGGCUCAGUGUGAGUCUCCCGCUGGCUUCUGGAAGGGGCGUCAGCUACAGGAAUAGCAAAAUU